rnacentral:rRNA from 1 species
UACGAAGGUCCCGAGCGUUAUCCGGAUUUAUUGGGUUUAAAGGGUGCGUAGGCGGGUUAUUAAGUCAGUGGUGAAAGCCUUCAGCUUAACUGAAGAAUUGCCAUUGAUACUGAUGAUCUUGAGUAUGAUUGAGGUGGGCGGAAUGUGUCAUGUAGCGGUGAAAUGCUUAGAUAUGACACAGAACACCGAUUGCGAAGGCAGCUCACUAAGCCAUAACUGACGCUGAUGCACGAAAGCGUGGGGAGCAAACAGG